rnacentral:misc_RNA from 1 species
UUGGUUUGUUUCCGGUGGUUGGCUCUCUGCUCGCGCAACAACUUCCACCUGGCAUACCUUUUCAUUUACGCAUCAAGGUAGUAUCACCUUGAGCGCAUUGUGGGUUUCCUGUGUUGCCUACCUAAACUCAUGGUAUGUUUGGACCCAUCCAAGUCCCUUUUCGUCUUGCGUUGCGCUAGCGAUGCGGGGUGAACCUUGAAGCGGUCUUUGUGUUCCACCUUGUUGGCGUUGAUGCGUCGAUGUUGUGGCCCACUAAGCAUUGCUUGGUCUUCUGGAUACAGAACAUGAAGCGGGCAUGGGGUCUUGCAUGACCCUUGUUCUGCCCUUGUUGAGUGUUAUUGUUUCUCUAAGAUGACAGCCCAGCCGAAUUGGCUCGUACCACCGGGUGGGAUGUGUUGUCGAAGAGUGACGUUAGCGUUCUUGCUUCUCCUAAACGACUGCCUUGCCCACAUUGGCUCGUACCAGUGGGGGGGCUACGUCGAAGAGGGUUGCUACCUGGUUGAUCCUGCCAGUAGUCAUAUGCUUGUCUCAA